CCUACGGGUGGCAGCAGUGAGGAAUAUUGGUCAAUGGACGAGAGUCUGAACCAGCCAAGUAGCGUGAAGGAUGACUGCCCUAUGGGUUGUAAACUUCUUUUAUAUGGGAAUAAAACGUUCCACGUGUGGGAUUUUGUAUGUACCAUAUGAAUAAGGAUCGGCUAACUCCGUGCCAGCAGCCGCGGUAAUACGGAGGAUCCGAGCGUUAUCCGGAUUUAUUGGGUUUAAAGGGAGCGUAGGUGGAUUGUUAAGUCAGUUGUGAAAGUUUGCGGCUCAACCGUAAAAUUGCAGUUGAAACUGGCAGUCUUGAGUACAGUAGAGGUGGGCGGAAUUCGUGGUGUAGCGGUGAAAUGCUUAGAUAUCACCAAGAACUCCGAUUGCGAAGGCAGUUCACUGGACUGCAACUGACACUGAGGCUCGAAAGUGUGGGUAUCAAACAGGAUUAGAUACCCCAGUAGUC
rnacentral:rRNA from 1 species